GUGGGGAAUAUUGGACAAUGGGGGCAACCCUGAUCCAGCAAUGCCGCGUGUGUGAAGAAGGCCUGAGGGUUGUAAAGCACUUUCGUUGGGGAGGAGGCUACUUCGGUUAAGAGCUAGAGUAGUGGACGUUACCCUUAGAAGAAGCACCGGCUAACUCCGUGCCAGCAGCCGCGGUAAUACGGAGGGUGCGAGCGUUAAUCGGAAUUACUGGGCGUAAAGGGUGCGUAGGUGGUUUGAUAAGUUAUCUGUGAAAUCCCUGGGCUUAACCUGGGCAGGUCAGAUAAUACUGUUGGACUCGAGUAUGGGAGAGGGUAGUGGAAUUUCCGGUGUAGCGGUGAAAUGCGUAGAGAUCGGAAGGAACACCAGUGGCGAAGGCGGCUACCUGGCCCAAUACUGACACUGAGGCACGAAAGCGUGGGGAGCAAACAGGAUUAGAUACCCCGGUAGUCC
rnacentral:rRNA from 1 species